GAAAAACGUUUCAAAUUCAUGUUUUAUAUCGCAGUUUUAUAUAGAACAAGGGUAGGAGAAGAGGUGCACACUGCAACCAACAAGCCGUCCAGUACAAUGGAAGAGGUGGCACCAGAGGUUCAGAUCGUGACCACGGCGCCGAUUGCUGUUCUUGACGCAACUCUUCUCGCAUCCAUCUUCGUCAGAUGAGCUUGACCAGCACACUGUAGUGUCAUUGCCAGACACCUCCCUCAUCUGGUAUACAGUGCGAGUCACACAGAUCAGAGACACUGCAAGUGUUUCGACAGCCUUCUAGGCCACCACCAAUGCAAUGUUUGAUAACUCUUCCUGGAUUAGCACAGUAUGUUCACCCAUUAACAAUGCUGUGUAAUUGAGACGUUGAUGGAUUAUUCAUGAGGACAAGAGUAAUUUUAGAGAGGAAUUUCUACGUAUAAUUUCUACGAAGACAUAAAGGUCGAAACUAGUAAAGAAUGUGUUGUCUUGUAUUUAAAUGUCUUUCUGGAGAACUGCUCAGAUGACAUUGAAUUAGGAACACCUACUGUGGUGACAAAUAGGCAGACGUACAUGGAGGCUUGUGGUGCAGCUGAUACGGCAGACAUAGAGUUUAUAGACAUACCAGCUCCUCGUCAGAGAAGACAGUUUAGUUUGCGUAGAGUGUCUCCUUCAGCCACAGUAAUAUACAGUGAAACAGCUGAUAUGUCAGGUAGUAUUAACAACCACUCUAUAGAACCUGAUGCCGUACAUGGUAGAAGAUCAGUCUUCCAACCAGACAAAUGAUGUUAUGUCAGCGGAAGAGUAUUUUGGACAAGAUGACAUCCAGUUGGCCAUUGAAGAAAGUUUGUUAAGUAUUUGUAAUAGCAAUAAAGAAGAGAAAGACAGCUCACUGUUGAAGAAAUGGGUUGACAAAGCACUACAACCCUCAGAGCCACAAACAAUAGUUGUUCAGUGGGAGAGGCUGUUACAAAUGAAGUUAAGAGUUGUUGGUAAAUAGACUUUCAACUGGUCACAGCCGCUUCGAAUAGUAUUCUUUGAUGAAGAUGGAGAUGACCAAGGAGGUCCAAAGAGAGAAUACAUUGUAUCUCUGUAAUCCAGCCAAUGAUUGAUUACUACACAUUUGACAAUAGCCAAUCAGGUAAAAGUAGUAAGUUCAUUUAACGAUAUUAUGGAAUUUCAUUCAUCAAAACCGGACUACUUUCCGCACUUUUGUCAUGGAAAUCGUGCUUUUUAUCUUUAUUUUGAGUCACUUGUUUCACUGUGAGGAAACUGAAUUUCUAAGAGGUGUUUUUCAGUGUAUACACAUAGCAAAUGUAUAUUCAGAAAUACCUAGAUGUUUUUUUUUUAUCUUUUUUAUUUAUUAUUCUAGCAUUUCUCCCGUAUCUCUUGUCUUUUUUUUUCUUUUAAGUAUCUGCUUAUUAUUACUGUUGUCUAAACUUUUCUCUAAAACUGUAACAUGUAUUAUAUUAACUAUCUUGCACCGGAACACUGUUAAAUCAUGCUAAUUUACCUUUCUGUAAUAACCCCAUGUUGUACUAUAAUACCAUGUACCUGGGUGAAUAAAAGAAAUGUUCUGUUCUGUUCUGUUCAGUAAAAUAUAAAUGUUCCAUUUGAACUAUUUACACACUGAUGUUUAUGAUAUAUAUAUUUUUGUGUACUAAUUGUUCAUUGACAUUUAUCGAU
rnacentral:lncRNA from 1 species